rnacentral:lncRNA from 1 species
GCCUCCGCUGCCACCUCCAGGAAGCCAGCAGGCUUCUCUUUGCCAGACCUACUGAAGAGGCUUUGGGAUGAGAGCCUGAAUCCAAGUAGGGUUGCAAGUGGGGGCGGGUGGUCUUAGCUCCCGCCUCUAGCUCGCUGCAUCCAGACCCCGGCUCAUCACAAAAAACUCAAGGCCCUGGUGAAGGAAGGGGGAAGACGGCCAGGCCCUGCCUCCUUGCUGCCCUGAACCUCCCGCCUGCGGUUCCCGGUUCCUGCCCGCUCACCCGCGCUCCGAGGCGUGGUGGGCUGCGGGCUCCGGGGCGCAUCCCUGUCGUGACCCCGGCCCGGGUCGGUCCCAUACACUCGCCUCGGCGGCCUUGGACAUCCGACCGCGAGCCGGGACCAAGCAGUGUCCGGCGGGUGGUCCCCGGGCGCGCUCUGGGCUGGAGCAGGGUGUCGGCCCCCACCCACCGUCCGCCGGGAUCCGCUAGCAGGCGCGGCCGCGGGCCAGGGCCGGAAAAGGAGGGUCGCCCCACACUCACCGCACGCGCUCCUUCUGGAACCGGGGGGCUUCCUUCCCCUCUGAGAGCCGGUGUCCGAGUCAGCCUUCCCCGGGCUCGCCUCCCGCCCCUUGCACACACGCACACGUGCACACACACGCGCGCAGACACACAGGCCCACUUGCACACGCGCCCCGCACAUCGCACUGGCUCUCAGAGGCCGGGUCCGGGGCGGGGACCGCAGGCACCGGCCCUUGGGGUGCGGAGGAAGGAUCCAGAGGCCUCCCCGGGCAGGGCCCCGGGAAGGGAGGGGCCGCGGCGGCAGAGAGCUCUGCCGGUCCACCUCCAAUCCCGCGAGCGGGCAGAAGCCAGGGACCUGAGUUGGGACCCCGGAGCCUCGGCAGGGGACGAGAAAAGCCGGUGCCCGCGGAGACGAGGGGUCUUAGGACUGACCGAGGCUGGCCUCCGCCCGCGAGCGCGGGGCGGGGGUGGGGGCGCUGGAGCCCGCGCGCCGACGCCCCCUCCCUGCCUUGCCGCGGGCAGCGCAGUCCUGUCCGCCCGGCUUUGCC